GGAUUAGAUACCCUGGUAGUCCACACCGUAAACGAUGAAUGCUGGAUGUCGGCUCCUUGUGAGUCGGUGUUGUAGUUAACGCGUUAAGCAUUCCGCCUGGGGAGUACGGUCGCAAGAUUAAAACUCAAAGGAAUUGACGGGGACCCGCACAAGCGGUGGAGCAUGUGGUUUAAUUCGAUGCAACGCGAAAAACCUUACCAGGCCUUGACAUGUCGACAGAGAGGAUAGGAGACUAACCUCGCAUUUAGUUGGGUCGAACACAGGUGUUGCAUGGCUGUCGUCAGCUCGUGCCG
rnacentral:rRNA from 1 species